UACGUAGGCAGCAAGCGUUGUUCGGAGUUACUGGGCGUAAAGAGUGUGUAGGCUGUUCUCUAAGUUUGGUGUGAAAUCUCCCGGCUUAACUGGGAGGGUGCGCCGAAAACUGGAGGGCUUGAGUAUGGGAGAGGAAAGCGGAAUUCCUGGUGUAGCGGUGAAAUGCGUAGAUAUCAGGAGGAACACCUGCGGUGUAGACGGCUUUCUGGACCAUCACUGACGCUGAGACACGAAAGCGUGGGGAGCAAACAGG
rnacentral:rRNA from 1 species